rnacentral:tRNA from 1 species
GUUGGUGGAAUUGACUUAGUGGUAGUAGAGUGUCUGCUUUGCAUGCAGAAAGUCCCAGGCUCAAUCCCUGGUAUCUACA